GCACAUCCAGAAUAAGCCCUACUAGACCUGGCUACAAAUAUUAAACCUUGCCCGAACCAACAACCAUUUCAGUCGUUGGACUCCAAGCGUAGUGCAGUAGCAUUUUUUCAAAAGGAAGUUACGUCUCUCUAGCAAAGAUUUCUGACUGAAAGAUGAAGACCAUUUGUGUCCUGUUCGUUCUGGUGGUGAUCUUCUCCUUGGUCCUUGCACAUGCAGGAGAUAAUGUCGUGGAAGGAUUGAAUGAAGAAACGGAUCUGGAAAAAGG